rnacentral:rRNA from 1 species
UGGGGAAUAUUGGGCAAUGGGCGCAAGCCUGACCCAGCGACGCCGCGUGAGGGAAGACGGUCUUCGGAUUGUAAACCUCUUUCAGCAGGGAAGACAAAAGGACGGUACCUGCAGAAGAAGCCACGGCUAACUACGUGCCAGCAGCCGCGGUAAUACGUAGGUGGCAAGCGUUAUCCGGAAUUACUGGGUGUAAAGGGUGUGUAGGCGGGGCUGCAAGUCAGAUGUGAAAAUUAUGGGCUCAACCCAUAACCUGCGUCUGAAACUGUAGCUCUUGAGAGUGGGAGAGGUAAACGGAAUUCCCGG